UUGGCUUCAUUAUCCUUCUUCUUACCAAAACUACUGUCGUAUCUCUUGCUAGAUGAUACCUUCUCCUAUGACAACCAUCCUUCUCGGACACCUUCUUCUAGCUUCAUCCUCAUAUUUACCAUCUCAGUAAAAUCACUGGGGGCACUGGCGAUCAUCUUCUCAUAAUAAAAUGAGCUAAGGGUCUUCAAAACAAUCUUGGUCAUCUCCUUUUCCUCUAAAGGAGGGUUGAUCUGAGCAGCGAGUUC
rnacentral:lncRNA from 1 species